rnacentral:lncRNA from 1 species
GUCCCAGUUGCAAGUGCUUCUCCUGCGCAAGUCCAUGCCGCCACAACAUAUGAUGGGGAAAAAGUCGCUGUCAAGGUUGUUGUUAUAUAAGAAAAAGACUGCAGGUCGUUUCGAGUUCACUUAUGUUAAGUUUCAACUCUUAAAUUAUGGCAGCAGAGUUCAAAUUUAACCAGCUGGCCCUGUUUUGGCUUACAGGUUCAACACGACCACUUGAUGGAUACUUCUGUAAUAGAUAUGGCUACAGUGGAUUUAGUACUGAAUGCUCGUCAUUAUUUUCCCAACAUUUAACUACAGGUACAACAAGUCAAUGGGAGCAACUAUUCUUUGUUUAUUACCUUGUUCUCUGUCUCUUUUUAAACAUACUACCUCGAAAGCUUUUAGGCUAAUGAUGAUUUGUAGAAUUAGUUAUGAUAGAGAGAAGGACACCGAUCUGCAUGGUUUGAAAAUACCAAUGAAAUGAGGGUAUGCUUCCUAACACAUCUGUUAGUAUUCAGUGAUUCCAACAGGUCACGGACUUUCCAUGCUCUCAGAUAGCAACAUUAUUUAUUCAACGGUGAUGUGAUUUUAUCCAUCUGAAGAUUGUGUUAUCAUUGGUUUAACUCCGUGUGAUAUUACACAUGUAGCUUGCUGGGUAUAUUUUACAAUAGUUACUUUUCGAAAUUUCUUAGAGAUUAUAAAUGGGACAGCAGACAACAUUGCAGAUACGUCGCAGCUGGGCACCAUGAUCAUUACUCCCAUAUCUCCCUUUUAUGUUAUUAAUAUAUACAUGUAGGUUUCCUUUUUGUUAAUUUUUGGAAAUCAUAAAAUAGUAUUAGAUAUUAUAGUUGUACUGUAAUUUGCAAGGUUUCUGUUGACUGUGUACAAACAGAUAGAAUCUAAUUCAAGUGACUUUGAUUAAUUUCCUUUUCCAAGUUAUUGUUGGGCCAGAUAUUUACCUCUAUAAAAUAUUUCUUUCCACUUCUCUUUUGCUCACAGGAAAUCUGGUCCAAGCCCGACCGCAGUGUUAUAUAAGGAUGUUGG